ensembl:lncRNA
CUCUUGGCUCCCAGCACCCACAGGAAAGAUGAGUGUCACUUGGUUCCCCUGAAAAGAAUUAAUUUGUAAAUGUCCAGGAAAGACAGAGAGAUUGGGGUCCCUGCCGGGAGAAGAAUCCAGGUUGCCCAUGACCUUUCUACCCACUACUCUCGAGUCUCCUUGGGACUCCUUCCAACCUAGACAUGAGCUACUGUUCUUGCACAGCCUCUGCUGAGUCUCAGUGGCUGUGGCUAUGAGAAGAGUUAAUUGGUGCACUCUCAGCCUGGGCACUGGGUAAGUGCACGAGGAACGCACUCCCCCCAUCCCUCUCAAGUACUUCUAGGCCUACUGCAGGAAGCUGAGCUGCCUCUGCUGACCAACCACUGAUUUCUUGGAGCAAGUGACUGCUGUUUCUCAGCAUUAAGGUGGUGUGGGUUAUAUUAUGUGGAG